GAUGAACGCUAGCUACAGGCUUAACACAUGCAAGUCGAGGGGCAGCAUGGUCUUAGCUUGCUAAGGCCGAUGGCGACCGGCGCACGGGUGAGUAACACGUAUCCAACCUGCCGUCUACUCUUGGACAGCCUUCUGAAAGGAAGAUUAAUACAAGAUGGCAUCAUGAGUCCGCAUGUUCACAUGAUUAAAGGUAUUCCGGUAGACGAUGGGGAUGCGUUCCAUUAGAUAGUAGGCGGGGUAACGGCCCACCUAGUCUUCGAUGGAUAGGGGUUCUGAGAGGAAGGUCCCCCACAUUGGAACUGAGACACGGUCCAAACUCCUACGGGAGGCAGCAGUGAGGAAUAGUGAUCAAUGGGCGAGAGCCUGAACCAGCCAAGUAGCGUGAAGGAUGACUGCCCUAUGGGUUGUAAACUUCUUUUAUAAAGGAAUAAAGUCGGGUAUGGAUACCCGUUUGCAUGUACUUUAUGAAUAAGGAUCGGCUAACUCCGUG
rnacentral:rRNA from 1 species